CUAAAUAAAGGCUGAAACAAUUAAGCCGCUGUUUAAGAUUUUCCUCUUUCCUCCAAUAACAAAGCAAACCUGUAAAUCCUUUUAACCAGUACCAGGGUCAUCUUAUGCAACUUCAAGCAAUGAUUGUUUGGAAGAAGUUUCCCAAUUUUCAGCAAGGAAGCAUCUUAGUGUCUGUCAUACCCUAGAAGGAAAGGCACUCCCACAUAAAUUUCCGAAUGAAGACAAGUUCAGUGGCAGAUAAGAGAAAUGUUCUGUUGCUUCUUGGGGAGCAUUUGCUCUGGUCUCAUUUGCUUGUGCUCUGACAGUCCUCGGGUCAAGCAAGGCCAAGCAGAGAGGCAGAUCUAUUAACACUUCACUCAACCAAGGCAGACCUUAGUAGCAUAAACGGUCUGAUCGAAGUCUUCUAAGUCAUUAAUGAAAAGGUCAACGAACACACCGGUUCCCAAGGAGCUCAUUGCAAAGAUGGAAUUGUUUAUUAUAACCUCGGGCCCUACUGAGUCUCUUGAGAUUAUAUAAGAGUUUAACAUGACAGAUGACUGAUGAAAAGAAACAUUUAGAGAAUGGCAAGGCUGGAACCUGAAAGCUAGGAGUGGGGUGAGAAGGUGAAGUUUUGGUAGAUUAUUUUUAAGGUUACACUGGAAAGAAAAAGUCAGCUUGAGGCGGGUGCCAGCCAGUAUAUUUCACACAGGCUGCUCCAACGUGUGACCAUAUGGACAAGCCUCAUUUGGAAGGAAGUAAACUAAAUUUGAGAAAGCACUUUCUAAGCACAGUGAUCACCGCAGUGUAAUACUGGGUUUGCUUCUGUUUGCCUUUGUGAUGUAUAUAAACUGCUCUAACUCCAGAGAUUAGAGAUUAAGUAUCUCGCUGACGGCCCAAAACUCUGAAGGGGGGUUUGGAACUCAGGAUUCUGGCCUUCCAUUUCAUUACUCUUUCCAGCACUCCUGGUUCUGCUCCCCAUGUUUUAACUCUGCGAAUCACAGUGACAUGCCGUUUGCGUGUCUUUCUCAGAGGGUAAAGGUAUGAACGUGCUCACUCAACACACACUUACUAAACACCUAUCACGUUCCAGACACUCUUCUUGGGCCUGCGCAUACAGCAAAGAAUAAAACAGAUAUAUAAGCAAAACCAAGCAAAUGAGUAAACCAAAACUCCCUGUGAAGUUUACGGUCUAGUAGUGGAAGAGAGACUGUAAUCAAAAAGUAUGAUAGGUAAGCAAAUUAAUUAGUAACGAACUGACAGUAAUAAGUUCUAAAAGGUGAUCAGUGCUAUGAAGAAAACCUCUGGGUGGGGAGGUGGCUGCACAGCAGGGGCAAGGAUGGAUGACUGAGAAGGUGGCAUCUGAGCAGAGGGAGCACGGCAUGUGAACGUCUGGAGGAACAGCAUCCCAGGCAGGGCAGACACAGAAGGCGCCUGGACAAUAUGAAGAAUGGCAAGGAGGUCAGUGUGUGCAGCAAACAGGGUAAGCCAAGGAUGGAGCAAGCCGAGGUCAGGAGGUUCUCGCCUCUCUAGAGAUCACGGCAGGCCCUGGUGAGGAUUUUUGCUUUUAUUCUGCUUUAUUUACUGGAAGGCUACGAAUGGAAGGGUGACAUGAUUUGACUUAUUUUGAGCAGGAUCAUUCUGGGUAGGCUGGGAACAGACUGUAGAAGAGCAAAAUUAGAAGCAGGGAGACUGGUUAGGACGUUACAGUGUUGAUCCAGGUGAGUGAGGAUAGGGGCUCAGAGCAUAGUGGCAGUGAUGAAGGCAGAGACACAGCCAGAAUCCCUGUAUGUUUCCAAAAUACGCCCAAUAGGAUUUUCAACAGAUUAGAUGCAGAAUGUGUAAGAGAAAGUGAAGUCAAGCACGGUUCAAAUCACAGCCCGUCCUAACACCUGUACUUUGCCUCUUAGAGAUGACUCACCAGGGUUUAGUUAGAUUUGUCUUAUGGUUUACUUCUAGGCCUUAAAACCAACACCUGCUGACCUUGUGAGACAUGAAUUUCACAGGAAUUUAUAGGAUGAAUAAAUAAAGGAAUGAAGGACUAUGCAAACAAUCACUGUCUCGCUCCUCACAAAGAGGAUCUGGCUUUGAGAACACUGUUGCUCUGUUAUUUAGUUUCAGUAAGAUUCAAGUUCAAGUUCAAAUAUGUUCUUUCUCUGAAUACAUUUUUCUAUGCCAUGAAAGCAUAUUCAAAGAAAGAACAGAUUUGAACUUGAAUCUUACUGAAACUAAAUAACAGAGCAAAUCCAUAUGGAUUGUCUAGAUAUCAACAGAACCAAAAACAGUUCUAAUAUAGAUGUACUAUAAACUUAUUUAAAAAAAUGUUUUAUCAUUAUCUCAGGUAACAACUACAUGACUUUUUUUUUUUUUUUCUACAGAAAGAACAACAGCUCCCUGCAGGUGUCUAAAUCUGUUCAGGGACUGAAAAUUAACUGAGUGUGAUCCACGAAGAACUUAGAAUUUAGGAGUUAAGGAAAGAAACUCAAAAUCUGAACAACUAUCAAUUAAAGACCAACUAGAAAGAAGAUGAAACAUUCUUGAAACAAGAACAUAAAUCAGAAAAAAAGGAUGCUGAAAAUCAGAUCCUUGUAUACUUUAGCAGGCUUCUGUCUAAAGCAAAACAAUACUAAUAGUAUAAUGAUGCUGACGAUGCCUGGAUCCUUAGCUGUCUUGAUACUCUUGCCAGGCUCUUUUUUUUUUUUUUUUUUUUUUUUUUUUUUUCNNNNAUUAAAGACCAACUAGAAAGAAGAUGAAACAUUCUUGAAACAAGAACAUAAAUCAGAAAAAAAGGAUGCUGAAAAUCAGAUCCUUGUAUACUUUAGCAGGCUUCUGUCUAAAGCAAAACAAUACUAAUAGUAUAAUGAUGCUGACGAUGCCUGGAUCCUUAGCUGUCUUGAUACUCUUGCCAGGCUCUUUUUUUUUUUUUUUUAAAUUUUUAAUGUUUAUUUACUUUUGAGAGCGAGACAGAGACAGAGCAUGAGCAGGGGAGGGGCAGAGAGAGAGGGAGACACAGAAUCUGAAGCAGGCUCCAGGUUCCGAGCUGUCAGCACACAGCCCGACGCGGGGCUUGAACUCACGAACCACGAGAUCAUGACCUGAGCCGAAGUCGGACGCUUAACUGGCUGAGCCACCCAGGUUCAUCUUGCAAGGCUCUUAAUUGAAAGUAUGCUAUUCUUAGCAGCUGAGGCUACACAGAGGCAAAGAAGGCAUAUAUACUUGUAACUAUAGAAAAACCUUCUGAGAUUACUUGGGUCUUCUUUCGACCUUCUGGUAGCCAAGACGAGAGUGAAAACAGACUGCUCUGCUUGGAGGCGCUGACAGGCUAGGGGCUUAUUUUUAAAGGGCUCUAGUGAGAACAGAGUCUGCUAUACUCAAAUAGCAUUACAUGCACGGUAGUUAAAGCCAAUUUCUUUUUUGUUUUAAUGUUCAAUAUAGGUCAUAACAUUAUUAAGCAUCUCUUACCUUGAUGUUUUGGGCAGGCAGAGGAUAAACCAAUCUCCCAAAUGCAGACGGUAAUGACUAUCAGUUAUUAUAAACAUUACUGAGAUAGGUAUAAGAUCUAAGGGGUUGUUUUAGCAGUAACAGUAACAUUUAGUAUAACAUUAAAUGAAUUUAAUCUUGGUGUUGUUAAAGUGAUGUUUGAAAAUAAAAUAAUGGGAACUAAUUUCACUGUAUUAAAAAUAAAAUGUUGCUUAUCUCUUUGGUUUCUUUCUGUGCUAUAAGAAAAUGCAUGCUAUUAAGGUUUUUGUGUGUGGUUUGUUUUUUAGGAACGGGUCUGGUGCUAUUGCUGUGGAGCAUCAUAAAAUGGUACCAACACUUCUGUUACAUCCGAUCUCAUAGAAAGACAUCUGUGUACAAAUGACGAAUGCUGCUUGUUAGACAACGCCACGCCAAUCUGUCAAUUUCAACACCAGCGCUCUCUUCCCUCCUCUCCCAAUUCAAAACAUCUAACCGUUCACUGCAUUUCAGUGGGACACUUACUUCAUCUUUAAAUACCUUUCCGUGUUCUUCACAGCCAGGUAAGCUCUGUAUGAAUUCUGACACCUGUCAAAAAUAAGGUAACAAUUCCAGUUGAAAACAGAAGCCCAAAUCUAAGUGCUACAGGUUCAAAAUGUUUAACCUGCAUGCGUUAGUUGUUUCUCUCAGAACAAUUUCUUCCCUUUCAGGAAGAGAGACUAAGCCCCACACACAUUCACUGUAUCUGCUCCUGAAGUCAGAAUUGCUAUAUCCAGUUCCUGGCAGACAAAGAAAAUGAAAUAUACCUCAUCUGUGCUCCAUUUGGAAACUUUACUGGCAGGAAUUCCAGCUACGGUGGGGAGAAGUUUGCUCUGCUGCUCCCAGCGCAAGGGCAGACAUGGAAUUGGUGAUUUAA
rnacentral:lncRNA from 1 species